GCCGGGGUGGCGAAAUGGCAGACGCAGCGGACUUAAAAUCCGCUGUCCCUCCGGGGACGUGUCGGUUCGACUCCGACUCCCGGCA
rnacentral:tRNA from 1 species